rnacentral:rRNA from 1 species
CCUACGGGUGGCUGCAGUGAGGAAUAUUGGUCAAUGGGCUAAGGCCUGAACCAGCCAAGUCGCGUGAGGGAAGACGGUCCUAUGGAUUGUAAGCCUCUUUUGUCGGGGAGCAACGAGGCCACGUGUGGCCGAAGUGAGAGUACCCGAAGAAAACGCAUCGGCUAACUCCGUGCCGGCAGCCGCGGUAAUCCGGAGGAUGCGGGGGUUAUCGGGAUUUAUUGGGUUUAAAGGGUGCGUAGGCGGAACAUUAAGACGGCGGUAAAGUCUAGGGGCUAAACCCCUGUUAGCCGGUGAGACUGGUGGUCUUGAGUGGGCGAGAAGUAUGCGGAAUGCGUGGUGUAGCGGUGAAAUGCAUAGAUAUCACGCAGAACUCCGAUUGCGAAGGCAGCAUACUGGCGCCCGACUGACGCUGAGGCACGAAAGCGUGGGGAUCGAACAGGAUUAGAUACCCUAGUAGUC